CCUACGGGUGGCUGCAGUGGGGAAUCUUCCGCAAUGGACGAAAGUCUGACGGAGCAACGCCGCGUGAGUGAUGAAGGUCUUCGGAUUGUAAAGCUCUGUUAAUCGGGACGAAAGAGCCUAGUGUGAAUAAUGCUAGGAAGUGACGGUACCGGAAUAGGAAGCCACGGCUAACUACGUGCCAGCAGCCGCGGUAAUACGUAGGUGGCAAGCGUUGUCCGGAAUUAUUGGGCGUGGAUCGCGCGCAGUCGGUUAAAAGUUCGGGGCUUAACCCCGUGAUGGGAUGGAAACUACAGAUCUAGAGUAUCGGAGAGGAAAGUGGAAUUCCUAGUGUAGCGGUGAAAUGCGUAGAGAUUAGGAAGAACACCAGUGGCGAAGGCGACUUUCUGGACGAAAACUGACGCUGAGGCGCGAAAGCCAGGGGAGCGAACGGGAUUAGAUACCCUUGUAGUC
rnacentral:rRNA from 1 species